UACAUAGGGAGCAAGCGUUAUCCGGAUUUAUUGGGUGUAAAGGGUGCGUAGACGGGAAAUUAAGUUAGUUGUGAAAUCCCUCGGCUUAACUGCGGAACUGCUUUGGAAACUGGCGGGCUAGAGUGCGGGAGGGGUAAGCGGAAUUCCUAGUGUAGCGGUGAAAUGCGUAGAUAUUAGGAGGAACACCAGUGGCGAAGGCGGCCUACUGGACGGUGACUGACGCUGAGGCUCGAAAGCGUGGGGAGCAAACAGG
rnacentral:rRNA from 1 species